CCCAAGUAGACUUCUGCCGGCCCGGUUCUGGCCUCCUCCUGCUGGCCUCGGUGGUUCCAAACAUUGGGUCCUGAAGUCGGCCUCUCCAGACCCAGCUCCUGUCCUCCUGGCGUCUCCUCCCCAUGGGCACAAAACGUCCUCACGUCUUUCUUUUGUACACACUGGCGUCUCCAAGACCAUCUGCUUAGUCACGUCUGCCUCUGAAGAUGCAACUUCUGUUUUACAGUGGACUUUUUUACCUCAGUUCCUGCCUCACGACGGCCUCUUCAGGCUUUUCUCCUGCCUCUUAGUGGACACUCGUCUCAUCUCUUUCAUGGUGACUGUUUCUGCAGUGCACUCGCAUUAAAAUGAAUGGCCUCUUCUCUAUCCAGCUCUAUAUGUCUGAUUUUCAACUGCAUCUAGAAUCCCAAAGCUU